CCUUCAUUCAGGUUUCUAUUUUUAUUCAACUACAAGCAAACAGCACAAUUAAUGCAACAUUCAGCAACUCCAGACCAGCUUUUCUUACCCCCAUGAAGAACGAUCAAUUUAAAAAACACAGAUCUCAGGUUUCCUCCCAAGCUGUCAGCGAGCGCUGCUACCGGUCUAGAUUGCCAUGUCCCAACAACAGCAAAGCCACCCUCCCUCCUGCUUCUUCCAGGAUUGCUCUUUAAAGGGACCAGAGUGACAUACUGAUGCCUACUGAGGCAUCUGAGAUGCACUGUGUUGGAGGUUAGCCUCAAUGCCAGCCUCUGGUUGUCUAGGUGAGUGACAUCACCAUAAAAUCACAUUGUGUACCAGUUCAGGUCCCCAAGCUAACCCCCUACUUCCCAGACAGCUGCUCGUACAGUUUGGGCACAUAGUCAUCCCACUCGGCCUGGUAACACGUGCCAGCCACCGGGGCCCUGAGCUCAUACUUUUUACGGAAGGACGCCACCUUGAAUUUGCCACGGUGGUCUCCAGAUCGGUUGCUGAGGAUGGGCUCGUCACACUUUAGCGGCCUGUCCUGCUCGUAAACCAGCCAGACAUAGCGGUGGAGGCCUGUGGGGAGAGGCAGAGGGAAGAUGUACACACAGCCCAGCACUUGAGAUGGGGACAUCAUCCAUUUUUAUCGAAUGUUUCAACAUGGAGGCAC
rnacentral:lncRNA from 1 species